rfam:Intoshia linei isolate Intl2013 Contig_14357, whole genome shotgun sequence.
GCCGGGUUAGCUCAGUGGGAGAGCGUUAGACUGAAGAUCUACAGGUCCGUGGUUCGAUCCCGCGACUCGGCA